rnacentral:rRNA from 1 species
GAACGCUGGCGGCAAGCCUUACACAUGCAAGUCGAGCGGUAACAUUUCUAGCUUGCUAGAAGAUGACGAGCGGCGGACGGGUGAGUAAAGCAUAGGAAUCUGGCCAAUAGAGGGGGAUAGCCCGGAGAAAUCCGGAUUAAUACCGCAUACACUCUAUGGAGAAAAAGCAGGGGAUCUUCGGACCUUGCGCUAUUGGAUGAGCCUAUGUCGGAUUAGUUAGUUGGUGGGGUAAAGGCCUACCAAGGCGACGAUCCGUAGCUGGUCUUAGAGGAUGAUCAGCCACAUCGGGACUGAGACACGGCCCGAACUCCUACGGGAGGCAGCAGUGGGGAAUAUUGCACAAUGGGCGCAAGCCUGAUGCAGCUAUGCCGCGUGUGUGAAGAAGGCCUUAGGGUUGUAAAGCACUUUCAGUAGUGAGGAAAAGUGUUGUGUUAACAGCGCAAUGCUGUGACGUUAGCUACAGAAGAAGGACCGGCAAACUCCGUG